rnacentral:rRNA from 1 species
UACGGAGGGGGCUAGCGUUGUUCGGAAUUACUGGGCGUAAAGAGCUCGUAGGCGGUUUGGCAAGUCGGGUGUGAAAACUCCGGGCUCAACUCGGAGACGCCACUCGAUACUGCCAUGACUAGAGUCCGGUAGGGGAGUGCGGAAUUCCUGGUGUAGCGGUGAAAUGCGCAGAUAUCAGGAGGAACACCGGUGGCGAAGGCGGCACUCUGGGCCGGUACUGACGCUGAGGAGCGAAAGCGUGGGGAGCGAACAGG